GUAGGCUGCAACUCGCCUACAUGAAGUUGGAAUCGCUAGUAAUCGCGAAUCAGAAUGUCGCGGUGAAUACGUUCCCGGGUCUUGUACACACCGCCCGUCACACCACGAGAGUUUACAACACCCGAAGUCAGUGGCCUAACCGCAAGGAGGGAGCUGCCUAAGGUGGGGUAGAUGAUUGGGGUGAAGUCGUAACAAGGUACC
rnacentral:rRNA from 1 species